rnacentral:lncRNA from 1 species
CUGUGAAGGACUUGCCUACUGCCCCAGCGGUCCUUGGACAUAGGAGUCCUUACAGACUCUGAAUGCAAUCAGAGCCCUGAGUCAUUAGAGCCCAGGACCCUGAAGUCUCUGUUUUUCAGGCAGACACAGAGCAGCUGCCAUAGUUCAGGGGUGGGGUUUGUGCCAUCAGCCAUUUCCAGGAGCUGAAGGAGGUCAGAACCCUGACCACAGAUGCCGCCUGGUGCUCUCAGCCACAAGACCAAGACAGCCUCCGGGGACCCCAUCCCUCAAGCAAGAAGUCAAAUGCAAAGCAAGUUCAAAGGCAGGUCAUACACCAGCUAAGCGGGCACAGCUGGGCACAGUUCCCGGGGCCUGCCGGGCAGCGCUGGGAAGGGCGGCAGAGAGCGCGGACUGGACGCUCGUCUUGGAAUGACUCAGCCAGGAGCAGCCGCCAGCAGCAUGGGCCACGCAGCAAACGGGCGCGCCGUGGGAGCUGGAGAGGCCAGGUCUUCUGGAACCAGGCCAGUGCACCCUGCCCGGGCGUCACCCCACCACGGACAUUCACAAUGACAGUCAGCACUUCUCAGCACACUGUGGAUCACACGCAUUAGCCUGGCACCUGGCAGCGCCCCGAGGGUCACAUUACUGGAAGAAGAAACCUGGAGCUGAUUCACAAAAGUAGAGUAAUCCUGUCUGCAGUUGAGAGUUGAAGCCACGAGGUGGCGCCCUCAGCACACUACUUGAGCUGUUGGGUUUUCCAGCGGCAAUGACCAGCACGGGGACAGAGGAUGUCCUGAAGAGGGGCUCUGUCCGCUUCAGGACGUCCAGGGGAGUCACCUGUGUAACACUCACAGGAAAUACAUGCUUCUGUGGGUACACAGCUGGGAACAGGGUGAGGCAAGUGAGUUAUCUUGGGUGCAAAUUUUAAGGGGCAAUGAGCGCCCCUCUCCCCUCACCCUGGUCCCGGCCCUGGGCCACCGGACUGGGACAUGUCUGUGAGGACCAGAGUUGGGGAGCGGCUCCCUGACACCCCAGGAGAGAGGGUGAUGCUUUGACCUCAGCCCUGGUCAGGUGGGGCCUACACCACGGGGACGCUAAAGCCCCUAUUCUGAUCCAGAGGCUGUGGCCGGAAUAAACGGAUGUACUUUCUGGGAGGGGAUUAAGGGGAUGGACGAGGUGCUGCCCCAUCCCUAUUCCCACUAUGAAUUGGAGCCACAGGGACAUGGAGGGUGUGGAGCUGAGCCGAGUGCGUCCCUGGAGUGCCCUUUCCUGUCUGCACUCGGGCUGGGCCAGCCUCCUGUGGCUCCUGCACAUGGCAGCCCCCCUCAGCUGGAGGAGCCACAGUGGAGCAGGCGUGGAGUCCGUGGCACCAUGGCAGGGGGUCUCUGUCCAGGGCCUGGGUACUCGGUGACACUGGGAGAGAAUGCAGCCUGCAGCGUGGCCUCGGAAACUGGAAUAAGAGAGCUGACCUAUGAAGGAGGCACGGGAAGCUGGGUGCAGAGAUGACCGAGAAACUGGCAAACAUUUUGGUAAACCAGAGCACCAUGCUGCGUGAGUGAGGAGUAACCAAGGUGGAAGUGUUAAGGAUGAGGUGGAACGAAUAUUCAUACCAUACAGUAACUAACACUGAACACAGUCACCUGGAAGAGAAGACUGGGGAGAAUCGGGACAUUAAGGCUCCUGGGCACUUGCGGUUUUUACUCCGGGUCAGCGCUGUCCAACAGGGAUAUAGUUUGAACCACGUCUAUAAUUAAACGCUUUCUGGUAGCCAUAUUAAAAAAGAAACAGGUGAAAUUGGUUUAAUAACAUAUUUUAUUUAGGGCAAUAUAUGCAAAAUACUAUCAUUUCCACAUAUAAUCAUUUAUAAAUAUUAUUUAUUGAAACAUUUUGUAUUCCUUUUUUUAUACCAACUCUUUCAAAUCCGGUGCAUAUUUUACAUUUAUAGCAUAUUCCAAUUUGGAUACUAAAUUUCUGCUGCAAAUAUUUUAUCUGUAUUUAGAGUUUACAAAAUUUAGAGUUAAAAAAAGAUUUUCAAGUUGUUCUAAACAUGCGUUUUUAGUAAUUGGAUUGUGUAUCAAUUUCUAAAUUAAGAUUAAAUAAAAUUGAACAUUUAAGUGCUCGGUUGAUCUAAUUUCAAAUGUGAUUAGUGGCCCUACUGUAUUGGAUAGUGCAGUGGUAGGCAUUUAAAAGUAAAGUAUUCAUGUUAAAAAUGUUAAGAAUAACAAGCAAAGAAUAGAAGUAGAAUAUAUAACUUCUAAACCAGUAGAGGGGGCUGCAUACAAAAAAAAUCCCGAUCAAUUCAACAGAAGGGGAAGUGAGAAAACAAUAAAACAAAAAUUAUGAUAAAUAGAAACACAAAAGAAGAAGAUAAAAAUAGGUAUAAAUGCCAUAAAUUUAUCAGUAACAGUAGUAAAUGUAAACAGAUUAAUCUCACACAUUAAAAGACAGAAGUACUUAGGUUGGAAUUUUUAAAAAUCCAGUUGUAGCUGCUUGUGAAGAGACAUCUAAAAUAUAAGAACACAGAAAUGUUGAAAAUAAAUGAAUGGAAAAAGAUAUGUGAGACAAAUAGGAAUUAAAAUAAAACUAGUGUAGUGAACUCAUAUUAAUAUGGACAAGACAGACUAAGGAAAAUCUUUAUUAGGGAUAAAGAUUGUCAUUGCAAGAUUAUAAAAGAAACAAUUCAUAGAGAUACAACAAUCUUGAGCCUAUAUACACCUAGCAACAUAGCCUGGAAGGAAAGAAAACAAAUAAAAGUCUGUGACAUAAUGUGAAGAAUUUGAAAAUUCACAAUCUUAGUGGAAAUUUUAUGAUAACACUCUCAGAAACUGAUAGACCAAGUAGAACACUAGCAACAAAUUAGUAGAGAAAGAGAUUUUGAACAAUGCAUUAAGAAAACCUAAUAUAAUAGAUACAUGUAGAAGCCUGUACCCAUGGAAUAUUUAUAGAAAUUGACCAUGUACCACUUCAC